ensembl:lncRNA
CACUCUCCAUGUUGUGCCUUCUGUCGGUUUUGACAAAUGUAUAGCGACAUGUGUCCAUCCUCAUGUGUCAUGACAUGUCUCAGACAGAGCUGUUUCACAGCCCUAAAACCCUCUGUGCUCCGCCCACUCGUCCCUCCUUCGCCCUCCCCUGGCAACCACUGAUCUUUCUCCUGUCUCCAUCGUUGUGCCCUUGCCAGGAUGUCAUGGAGUUGGAACCACACAUCCUUGCAUUUUUUAUUUCUGUGGAGUGGGUGAGGGUGGACAUAGAAGUUUUAGUUUUGAUUUUCAAUCCCUGUUUGCCCAUCUUUAUCUGCUGCGGGUGCUGAAAAGGUAAAAACUUCCCUCACAGAGGCUUCACCGCCGAGAGCAGCCACGGGGCCAAGUCUCCAAAGGGGACGCGACCUCCGCCGAUGCUACCUUCUCCCGCCUGGGACGCGGCUGGUGCUGAUCUGCAGAGAUGAGAGAGAGAGUGAGCCCGGUUCUACAACUGGGCCAUCACUUCAGCAAGCGGUUAUCGAGCGCCGACUACGUUCCGGCAGGAGGCUUGCAGGAUACAGACAUAAAACAAAGGGAUGCGGUCCCUGGCUUCCUGAGGCGUGCCGGUGCUCCCGGGUCACAGCCCCAGGCGCUGUGAGGCCAUCAUGCGCAAAGAACCAGUGUGGUCUGGGGAGGUGGUGUCACGAAGACCUAAGGGGCUCCGAGUUGACCUGGACCAGGAGGAGAAGGAGCCUCUGGAUGGACGGCGAGGUCCCUGCAGCGGGCAGAGGCCUGGCCUGCUUGUUGGAACAGAGGAAAGGCCAGCACGGCUGACGGCCAGCACUGGAGUCACAGGAGGGGCCAGGCCGGAUGUGGCCUGUCGAGGAUUUUGAACUUGGCUGUGGGUGAGGACAAGAUGGGAACCCUGAUUAUCAAGUCACAGAGCCAGUGAGUAAGUGAGCCAGGAUCUGCACCGUCUCCUGUGCGUUUACUGCUUCAUUCUGUUGCUACAGACUGCAGUCCUGACGCAGGGGCAGCCCCGUGCUGGGGCUGAGAAGGCGGUUCUGGACAGGACGACAGCAGCGCCUGUCCUCGCGGAGUUUGCCCUGGGGUGAGAGAGCAGGUGUCUGGCGAAUAAUGACACGAGAAGCAUUAAAUUGCAACUGCAGUUGGUACAACAAAGGGAAGAUAGUGAGGCCACAAAAGCAUGGAACAGGGGUUGGAAGCUCUUCUGGGGGUUCAAGGAAGGCUCUGAGAGAGGCCGUGUGGAGGGAACUGAGGUGCCCCAGCCAUCGGUCAGCACCCAGGACCUUCCCACCCAGUCCGUCCACCAGCGGAACCAGCCACAGGAGUGACCCCAAGCAAGACCAGCAGAAGUCAACCCACCACGAGAAAUACAAAUGGUUGUUUUAAGUCACUAAGUUCUGGGGUAGUUUGAUAUACAAGUACAGAAAGCUGAAAUAGGGUCCAAUGGCUAAACUGGAAACUGUAUCUUACACUUUGGCCUGUGGUCACCUGGACUGCAGUGCUCAGUGGGUCGAGUUCUGGAGCCAUCCUUAGAGCACAGAGCACCAGCAGCUCAAGGCCUCUGGUCUCUGGUGCAGAAUGACUGCUGUUACUCGCACUGGGCAGAUGGAGGAAAAAGCAGUUCAAAUCCCACACGGGGCCCCCAAGCAGGGCUUCCUAAGAUGUGUUAGCAGAAUCUCUCAUCUCUUUUUCCCACAGGGUGAUGGUAGAUAAAAGUCAAGAACAAAGACAGAUCCAGCGGUUUCCCAAGUUACAACAACAGUUGAAUUUAAGGGCCCGUCCGUGGCAGUUCAGCUUGAGACGGGAAGCGGGCGCUGACCAUGGAGCAGGGUCCACGGGAGGAAGGAGCUCAGGGCCCUGCAGAGGCAUCCAUCAGCCCUCCUGGGGAAGCUCCGUAGGUUCCUCGCUGCGGGACUCGCCCUGCAUGAGGCCACAUCUAAAAUUACACUCGGAGCCGGGGCGUUUCAGAGCAAAUCACAGAGGAGGAAGCUUUCUGCGGUAGUUUCGACACAUGUCCUCAGAUUCCGUGUGGCCUUUCCUUGAGCCUGGGCGGGCCUCGGUGAUGUUGUGCGACUUCUGAGGCCCAGACAAGAGGCCACACAGCUGGGCCUGUUUCUCCUGGGACACUUGCUCUUAGAACCUCCAGCUGUCCUUGUUUUUUAAAAUUUUUCCCAGCUUUAUUGAGACAGAAGUGACACAGAACGUUGUGUAAGUUUAAGGUGUACAAAGUGUUGAGUUGAUAUGCAUAUGUGUCGUGAAACGAUGACCACAGCAGGGCUCGUUGACACAUCGGUCACCUCACAGAGUUACCAUUUCUUGAAGGGUGUGGUGAGGGCGCACAAGAGCUGCCUUCUCAGCAACUCCACGGUCCUGUAAGGAGUCUGGCCGCCCUGGGGCCACCGUGUGGAGAGGCCACACAGAGAAAUGCAUAAGCUGUCACCGCCCCAGCCCAGGAGCCAGGCUCGCGAGCGCAGACGCCUUCGGGGGCCCCACCAUGGCCACCACCUGACUGGCUUACAUGAGAGACCCUGGGGAGAGCUGUCCAGCUGAACUUGGUCGACCCAGAACCACGACGGGUAACAAUACGUGUGAUUGUGUUGUUUUAGGCCACUGUCUGGGCACGGUUUGUUUUGCAGCAAUAAAAACCUGGAACACUCCUCCAUCAAAUAAACUGCCAGGCGAUGUUCCUUUACACUGGGAGCGUUUGGGAGGAUGUGUGGACGAGCAGGUGAGAGGGUGCGGGGAGCAGCAGGUGCCCUGAGGACGAGGACAAGACCGUGGAUGGCCCAUUUCAUGUGUCAGCCUGGUGAGACUAGGGUGCCCCGUUGUUCGGGCAAACACCCGUCUGGAUGUUCCUGUGAAGGUGUUUUGUAUGUGAGGUUAACAUUUACAGUCCGCUGACUUUAACGAAAGCAGGUUACCCUUCGUGAUGGGGGGCUCCCGCAAUCAGCCGGGGCCUUCAGAGCAGAAGACCGAGGUGCCACAGAGAAGCAGGGAUUCUGCCACCCACGGCAAAGUGGAAAUUCUGUCUCAGUUUCUAGCGUUUGGACUCAAAACUGCACUGUCAACUUUUAGCUGAGUUUCCAGUCUGCUGGCCCAUCCUAAGGGUUUUUGCCAGUCGCCACGAUCAUGCGAGCCAACUCCUUAAACGCUCUCUCUCUAGAUUGAUUGGUGUAGAUAGAGAUGAUACAGAUAAGGGAAAAGAUAGAGAUAGAGAUGGUACUGGUUCUGUU